rnacentral:ncRNA from 1 species
UGAAAGUUUGAUCUUUGCUUAGAUUCUUUGUUAAAAAAAUAUUUUACAUGUAAGUAAAAGCGUUAGAUAUAUGUUCCUAAGUUAAUUUUGUAGAUAUGGGUCUCAGUAUAUGUUUUUAGUUAUUAAAGUAAGCUUUGAUUUAGUAAUUUUUGUUGUUUCAGGUUAAAUUUGUGCCAGCAGCCGCGGUUAGACUGAAAGGAAAAUAAAGAUAUAAUAGAAAAUAAUUAUAAUUAGUUAUUUCACAACAAUUUUAUAUUAUAAGAUCAUAAAGGUAAAAUUUUAAUAUUAAGUAAUUUAUAAUUUAAGUGAAGUUUUUAGAAGUUAUGAAAAUCUUGAUUUAAACCAGGAUUAGAUACCCUGUUAUACAAGAGUUGAAAAUAAAAUUACUUGGGUAGUGUGAAGUUAUGAGCUUUAAACUUAAAAGAUUUGGCGGUAUUUAAGUCUAGUUAGGGGAACCUGUUCUGUAAACGAUAUGCCACGAAUAAUCUUACUUUACUUGGUUUAUCAGUAUGUAUACCGCCAUCAUAGAUAGUUUUUUAAAAAAAUUAUUGGAAUAAAAAUUUUUAGAAUUUUAGGUCAAGGUGCAGCUAAUAGUAAAGUAGUUAUGGGUUACAAUAUAAUAUAUAUAUAUACUAAUAAAUUCUUGAAAGAGAUUUUUGAGGGUGGACUUAAUAGUAAUUUUUUUUUAAUAAGAAAAGAUGAUAAAAGCUCUAAAAUAUGUACACAUCGCCCGUCGCUCUCUCCCUAAAGUGAGAUAAGUCGUAACAUAGUCGUUGUAUUGGAAAAUGCAGCGGGGAUUUG